rnacentral:tRNA from 1 species
GCCACCUUAGCUCAGUUGGUAGAGCACGUCACUCGUAAUGACGGGGUCGUCGGUUCAACUCCGACAGGUGGCU